rnacentral:rRNA from 1 species
GAUGAACGCUGGCGGCGUGCCUAAUACAUGCAAGUCGAACGAACAGAUCCGGCUCUUGCUCCUUUCUCGUUAGCGGCGGACGUGUGAGUCACACGUGUAUAACCUCCCUAUAUGUCUGGAAUAACUCCGGGAAACCGGCGCUUAUGCCGGAUAACAUUUAGCUCCGCGUGGUUCUAUAGUGAGAGAUGGUUGUUCUAUCACUUCUCGAUGGACCCGCGCCGUAUUAGCUAGUUGGUAAGGUAACGGCUUACCACGGCAACGAUACGUAGCCGACCUGAGAGGGGGAUAGGCCACACUGGAAGUGAGACACGGACAAGACGCCUACGGGAGGCAGCAGUAGGGAAUCGGCCGCAAUGGGCGAAAGCAUGACGGAGCAAGGGCGAGUGAGUGAUGAAGGUGCUCGGAGCGGAAAAAUCUGUUAUGAGGGAAGAACAAAUGUGGAAGGAACUGUGCACGGCUUGACGGUAAUGAAUCAGAAAGCCACGGCUAACUACGUG